CUCUACAUUCCACAAGACACUGAAUGUCAUCCUCCCUCCCUGCUCUCUCCUCGCUGGCUUCUCUGGUCCUCUCUCCCUCGUUUCUCCAAUCCUCUGCUGCGGCGACGGGUACCUGACUUGGAGGCCUCGUCGGCGGGAACGAAGGCCGACAGGGCGGGUGUGGCGGCUCGUGGUCGCGGCAACGACGGCAUGCAGACCGGCGCGGCGGCGGCGGGAACAUGGGGCGGGUGCGGUGGCGUCGGCUCGUAGGCCAGCGCGGCAGCGAGAAGCAGGAAGGGAAGCGGCGAAAAUCAGGAGAGUUAUUGUUUAUUCAAGAUGAUUACAGAAGACCACGUAUAGCCUACGAAUCAUGUCUUGCCUUCUAUGAUUCUAACCUGAAUUAAGUGUGAUACGAAUUUGGUGAUUCUGAAUUCGGAUGAUAUGGAAUUGCAUAGAGGUGGGAAUUGCGCCGGAGGUGGAGAUAUUGUUCCUCGCGGUCUGUAAUUUCUGCAUUCUGUAAUGUUAGAGAUGGGAACUACUGGAGGAGCACAUAUUUGAGGUUUUAGAGGUUGAUCUCCCACUGCUUGCUCAUGGAAAAACUGGCUAGGACUAUCAACCCGCAAGAACAUAGAGAACCAUCAACAAAUUGGAUUAUGGAUUGUUGAGUGUGAUAAAAGGAAACCAUGGUAUGCUCAUGAGUUUCUACAACAAAUAUCUCGGACCAUUAGUCUGGUGGGUUUAAUAGACUUCUUCAGACUUUCUUUGGAGGUGCUUGAGUUUCUGCGAGCUUGAGGGUUUGUACAACAGGGAAGUCAAGUUCAAAUUGAGAAUCACAACAUGCUGGCACAUAUAGUAAACUUGGUACAAUGUAUGUAGUUUGACUUUGUUCAAACGAUUACUCUUUACAUAGCAGGGAUAGCAUUGUAAGAAGCGGUCAGCAAAACAACUGCUGAGAUUAAAGCUAGGUAAAUGAACCCCUCUAUGACCAACAUUCAGACAUUUGCCCAUGUCUAAUAUUCUUUGUGUGCUCCGUUCGAAAGAUGCAAUGAAGUAUUUUUGUGUUGUCAAGUAGAUUUGUAGUGAUUAUAAGCUCUAGGAGUAAAAAUCAUUAUGCCUGGCUGCUCCUGCAACAUCUGCUCACACGCAGGUAACUGGUGGUGUACAUGGCAACAUAGUUCAUGUCGAUGCUCAGAUUGUGGAUUGGAGAUCCAUCUCGGCGGUGUGAUUAGUUUUUUUUCUUGGUAAGAGGGCCUAACUUCGUCUAAUGGAUUGUUACCUGCAUUAAUUUGCUAACCCGAUCAAUCCAUGCAUGUUUCCAUGGAUCUUUCUUUACAUUGCUCUUUGUGUGCAAUCAAAUCCAAACCUUUUGUUUAUGACCUUGUCAGUUAGUACAUGGGGAUUUAUUAGCUGCAUGAUGAUGUACCAAUCCGAUCCAUUCAUCCUGGAAUGAAUUAUGUCCUUUAUUGCCGAAGUACAAAUCCAACCAAAAGUGGAUAUGCAAACACAUGUGACUAUAAUUAAGGGAUUUGGAGCGAUGCUCAUGCCGGCACAGUCACUAUUUAAUGUUGAAUACAUUCCUUUAAUGGAACUACAAUUUUAAGGAAACUACAACCUCACUAUUUAUAACAUGAGUAGUAUGUUUGCAUGAGCGGUAAGAGAAAACUUUACUGAAUUUUCGUCUCCUUAGAAGAGAGACAAACCGAAAGAGUAAUCUGUUGGUACAUUUGAUGUUGAAUCAUCGAGAUACAUUUCAGCGAAGUGAUUUGUUUGUUGGAA